rnacentral:rRNA from 1 species
CUAUGCGCCUUGCCAGCCCGCUCAGAAACUCAAAGGAAUUGACGGGGGCCCGCACAAGCGGAGGAACAUGUGGUUUAAUUCGAUGAUACGCGAGGAACCUUACCUGGGCUAGAACGCAUUCGGAAUCAGGCCGAAAGGCCUGCGCCAGCGAUGGCCGCUUGCGAGGUGCUGCAUGGUUGUCGUCAGCUCGUGCCGUGAGGUGUCGGGUUAAGUCCCAUAACGAGCGCAACCCCUACUGCUAGUUGCCAGCGGGUCAUGCCGGGGACUCUAGCGGAACUGUCAGCGUAAGCUGCGAGGAAGGUGGGGAUGACGUCAAAUCAGCACGGCCCUUACGUCCAGGGCUACACACGUGUUACAAUGGCCGGUACAGAGGGCAGCCACCCCGCGAGGGGGCGCGAAUCCCGAAAGCCGGUCCCAGUUCGGAUCGGAGUCUGCAACCCGACUCCGUGAAGCUGGAUUCGCUAGUAAUCGCGCAUCAGCCACGGCGCGGUGAAUACGUUCCCGGGCCUU